UACGAAGGGGGCUAGCGUUGCUCGGAAUGACUGGGCGUAAAGGGCGCGUAGGCGGCUCAUACAGUCAGAUGUGAAAUUCCUGGGCUUAACCUGGGGGCUGCAUUUGGUACGUGUGGGCUUGAGUGGGGAAGAGGGUCGUGGAAUUCCCAGUGUAGAGGUGAAAUUCGUAGAUAUUGGGAAGAACACCGGUGGCGUAGGCGGCGACCUGGUCCUUGACUGACGCUGAGGCGCGAAAGCGUGGGGAGCAAACAGG
rnacentral:rRNA from 1 species